UACAGCAGCAUUACCACCUGGUAACAUAAUCUUAGCAUCUCCAACUAAGCAGGUUUGGGCCUGUCUAGUACUGGAAUGGGAGACCUCUAAAGACAAUCAGGUUGCUGCUGUAA
rnacentral:rRNA from 1 species